rnacentral:rRNA from 2 species
CUUUUAUUAUGAGAGUUUGAUCCUGGCUCAGGACGAACGCUGGCGGCGUGCCUAAUACAUGCAAGUCGAACGC